rnacentral:rRNA from 1 species
ACGGCUCAGUAACACGUGGCUAACCUACCCUUAGGACGGGGACAACCCCGGGAAACUGGGGCUAACAUCUGGUAGGUGAGGAGGCCUGGAAUGGUUCCUCCCUGAAAAGGCGUUGAAACCAUGCUUUUCAGCGUCGCCUAAGGAUGGGGCCGCGCCCGAUCAGGUUGUUGGUGGGGUAACGGCUCACCAAGCCAUUAACCGGUACGGGCCGUGAGAGCGGGAGCCCGGAGAUGGGCACUGAGACAAGGGCCCAGGCCCUACGGGGCGCAGCAGUCGCGAAAACUCCGCAAUGCGCGAAAGCGUGACGGGGCUACCCCGAGUGCCGUCCGCUGAGGAUGGCUUUUCCCCAGUGUAAUGAGCCGGGGGAAUAAGGAGAGGGCAAGACUGGUGUCAGCCGCCGCGGUAAUACCAGCUCUCCGAGUGGUAGGGACAAUUAUUGGGCUUAAAGCGUCCGUAGCCGGCUUGGCAAGUCUCCUGUUAAAUUCAGCGACUUAAUCGUUGAGCCGCGGGAGAUACUACUAGGCUAGGAGGCGGGAGAGGCCGACGGUAUUCCCGGGGUAGGGGUGAAAUCCUAUAAUCCCGGGAGGACCACCAGUGGCGAAGGCUGUCGGCUAGAACGCGCUCGACGGUGAGGGACGAAAGCUGGGGGAGCGAACCGGAUUAGAUACCCGGGUAGUCCCAGCCGUAAACGAUGCGGGCUAGGUGUUGAGGUGGCUACGAGCCACUUCAGUGCCGCAGGGAAGCCAUUAAGCCCGCCGCCUGGGGAGUACGGCCGCAAGGCUGAAACUUAAAGGAAUUGGCGGGGGAG